UACGAAGGGGGCUAGCGUUGUUCGGAAUUACUGGGCGUAAAGCGCGCGCAGGCGGCUAUCCAAGUCAGUGGUGAAAGCCCGGAGCUCAACUCCGGAACUGCCAUUGAAACUGUUUAGCUUGAGGACGAGAGAGGUGAGUGGAAUUCCCAGUGUAGAGGUGAAAUUCGUAGAUAUUCGCAAGAACACCAGUGGCGAAGGCGGCUCACUGGCCCGAUACUGACGCUGAGAAGCGAAAGCAUGGGGAGCGAACAGG
rnacentral:rRNA from 1 species